rnacentral:lncRNA from 1 species
GGCAGGUUGGAGCGACUGGUACUCAAUGUCAACACUUUGUCCGAACUCCAAAUUGAGUAUGACUCGGUUAGGACUAUCAAAUGAGCCUGGAUAUCUUUGAACCCAAUUACACAACAAGUCCAUGACCAGGUCGAUGUGCUGCAUUAAAAAAUAGCAAUACAAAAUGAAGUUAUUUCAUUGCAGAAACAAACAAUGAUAUACAAGUCAUAAAAAUUAACAGUAUGACUACUUCAUUUACAUCGUCGACAAGCCAGGCUCAUGAAAUGAUGAUGUCGUGAAACCACUUAUAAGUAUCGGAGAU